GCAUGUGUAAGCGAACAAGAGGAAGCUGCGGACUGCUCAGUAACAGACAUAUAAUUUAAUCUUUACAGAAACGAGCGGAAUAAACUCAGGAAACAGAGUGCAAUACGUAAAAGACGAAUUUUUUAUUAUAAGAAAUACGUUUUUAGCUUGAACAAAGCGGUAAAGAAUAAGUUGUCAGCCUAUCAGUUAGUAAGUAGGGUAAGGGCCUAUUUAGACGAAGACGGGUACGGGGAAUUAGAGU
rnacentral:rRNA from 1 species